rnacentral:lncRNA from 1 species
UCGUACUUUCGCCUUUUUCUCGUUGACCUGUCUUUGUUAAUUAUGCUCACGCCAAUUACUUGUCUUUUCAGGGAUGGCUUUCAAUCCUUCAGCUCUUUAACAGGCCGUGACCAAGAAGUCAAGGGCCCCUCAAGUCCGAGCCCCAGGUCAGAAAAGGGGAAAAAGAGGCCUCGAGAUUCAGGGCCUGAGACUGUUAGGAGUGGUCCUGGCUAGACAUCUGCCCGAGGACAAUCCCUGAUCAUUCAUGAGCACGAAGCUCCGAUUGCCACUCAUCAGUCCCAUCCUCGAUCAAGGAGUACUCCCGAGGUUGUUGACCUCGAGGAUGAGGUUUUUUCUGUGCCUUCUUUUCAAAAUCGAGAUCCUGAUUGGUGUUCACUGGUGUUGAGCAUCAUGGACAAAUAUCGAAAGGACCUCGGCUUCGACGAGGGCAUGAAAGCUCUUGAAUCCCUUACGCUGAAGGUAAGCUCGCUCAUUUUACUUAGUGUAAUUUAUGGAUUUCUAUGACUUGAUCUAACACUUGGAUUUUAUAUAUUGCAGACUCUGAGUAUUUCCCGAGGUCUUUCUUUGAAGGGGAAAGAUGAGGCCCAAAGAACUGCUGAGCUCGAGAGUUCUGCUCAGGCACGCGAGAAGUGGAUUGUUGAUAUGGAGGCUGAGUGCUACCUUCUUCAGAAGGAAUGUGAUGAUGCCAAGAACGAUCUACAGAAGGCACGGGAGGAAGCUGGGAUGGCCAAGGAGGAGGCCGAGGAGUUAAAGCUCGAGAUAGAGCAUUUGAAGAAGGAUUUCGAAGCUCGUCUGACCGAAGCUCGGGGUAUCGCAGUUGAGGACUUCAAAACACCUGAUGCGUUCAAUGGGCUGAAGGGAGAGUACGCCAACUUUCAUGCUUUGAAAGAGGCUCGGGUAUUUUUGCGCUCAAAGCUUGAUGCAAAGCCCGAGGAUUUGAAGAACAUCCCAGAGGUUGCUGAAGACCUCGAGCUUUCGGAGUCUAUGGAAACCAUCGACGACCAGGAGGUCGAUGUUGAUGGUGAGGAUGUGGCGAAAGAGCAAGGAAGCCAAGCCUCGAGAGAACGAGCCGAGGACAUAGACUAGUUUCUGUUUUCUUUUUGUUUUUUAAUACUCUUGGCUCUUUACUUGUACUGAUUGAUUAUUUUUGAAAUCAAUGUAUUCUUCCCAAG